UGAAUGGAGCUGUUUGAGUGACUUGGA
rnacentral:piRNA from 1 species